AUCGCAUCUCAGUUUUUUGACUAAGAUCAAAGUGUAGUAACCGUUCUUAUCAGUUUAAUCUCUAGUAUGGCCUCCAUAGGGAGCCCAGAAGAUUAAACUGAUUUUUGGAAAAUGACGGAAAGCUAGGUGGGCUUGCUCCACCACUGUCGCGGGUUGACCUGAUGUUGCAAUAUCUCCGGGCUUUUUUAGUCGCCAAGGU
rnacentral:snRNA from 1 species